rnacentral:rRNA from 1 species
UAGGUACAGAGGGCAGCUACCCUCGCGAAGGGGUGCGAAUCUCGAAAGCCUAUCUCAGUUCGGAUUGGAGGCUGAAACCCGCCUCCAUGAAGUUGGAUUCGCUAGUAAUCGCGCAUCAGCCAUGGCGCGGUGAAUACGUUCCCGGGCCUUGUACACACCGCCCGUCAAGCCAUGGGAGCUGGGGGUGCCUGAAGUUCGUGACCGCAAGGAGCGACCUAGGGCAAAACCGGUGACUGGGGCUAAGUCGUAACAAGGUACC